AGUGAACGCUGGCGGUAGGCCUAACACAUGCAAGUCGAACGGCAGCACAGUAAGAGCUUGCUCUUACGGGUGGCGAGUGGCGGACGGGUGAGGAAUACAUCGGAAUCUACUUUUUCGUGGGGGAUAACGUAGGUAAACUUACGCUAAUACCGCAUACGACCUACGGGUGAAAGCAGGGGAUCUUCGGACCUUGCGCGAUUGAAUGAGCCGAUGUCGGAUUAGCUAGUUGGCGGGGUAAAGGCCCACCAAGGCGACGAUCCGUAGCUGGUCUGAGAGGAUGGUCGGCCACACUGGAGCUUAGACACGGUCCAUACUCCUACGGGAGGCAGCAGUGGGGAAUAUUGGACAAUGGGCGGAAGCCUGAUCCAGCCAUACCGCGUGGGUGAAGACGGCCUUCGGGUUGUAAAGCCCUUUUGUUGGGAAAGAAAAGCAGCAGGUUAAUACCCCGCUGUUCUGACGGUACCCAAAGAAUAAGCACCGGCUAACUUCGUG
rnacentral:rRNA from 1 species